rnacentral:rRNA from 1 species
UACGGAGGGUGCAAGCGUUAUCCGGAUUCACUGGGCUUAAAGGGUGCGCAGGCGGGCUGGUAAGUCAGUGGUGAAAGCCUUGAGCUUAACUCGAGAACUGCCAUUGAUACUAUCAGUCUUGAAUAUUGUUGAGGUUUGCGGAAUGGGUCAUGUAGCGGUGAAAUGCAUAGAUAUGACCCGGAACACCUAUUGCGAAGGCAGCAGGCUAAACAAAGAUUGACGCUGAGGCUCGAAAGCGUGGGGAUCAAACAGG